rnacentral:tRNA from 1 species
GCUCCCUUCGUCUAGCGGUCAGGACGCUGGCCUCUCACGCCGGUAACAGGGGUUCGAAUCCCCUAGGGAGCGCCA